rnacentral:rRNA from 1 species
AUUGAACGCUGGCGGCAUGCCUUACACAUGCAAGUCGAACGGCAGCACGGGAUUCAGGCAACUGAGCCCUGGUGGCGAGUGGCGAACGGGUGAGUAAUGCAUCGGAACGUGCCCAGUAGUGGGGGAUAACUAGUCGAAAGAUUAGCUAAUACCGCAUACGACCUAUGGGUGAAAGCGGGGGAUUCGCAAGAACCUCGCGCUAUCGGAGCGGCCGAUGCUGAUUAGCUAGUUGGCGGGUAAAAGCCCACCAAGGCUUCGAUCAGUAGCUGGUCUGAGAGGACGACCAGCCACACUGGGACUGAGACACGGCCCA